UGCGACUUCUGCGAUCAAAUCAGCCUCCCAGGGAAAAAGCCAGGUCUGGGAAACCGGGCAAAGCCGCGCCUCUGAAGAGACGAGUACUUGGGCAAGCUUAUGGUCAUCCGUGGAGCGCCCUAGGGUUCUGAUCUGCCUUGUUCCGAUUGCGCCUUGAGGUGUGUUUUACUUUUACCGAAUUGUUGAAAUCACAAAGGAUUGGGGGGUAGGGGGCGUCCACUAGUCACCUGAGUGAAUAGGGUGGCGGUGGGCACAGGAAUGCCCCCUGCCUAGGAGGUCCCCACGCUGAUGCCGGGAACCUGUGACCGUGGUGUUCCAUCACACAGCGCGAGGGCCCCUGCAGAGGUGCUGACGGUCGAUUCAAACCAACGGUUUUCUUUGGAAAAGGAAAUAAAUAUGAAAAUAGAAUAGCUGUUCUCAGCCUGAUAGCGUGCAGUGGAAUCAACAGAUUAGAAGACUAGAAA